CCCUGGGUGGUGCAAAAGGUUAACACACUUGGCUGCUUACCAAAAUGUUGGAGGUUCGAGUCCACCCAUAGGCA
rnacentral:tRNA from 1 species